rnacentral:rRNA from 1 species
CAUGCAAGUCGAGCGUGAUUCUUAAACUUCGGUUUUUGAUGAAAGCGGCGAACGGGUGAGUAACGCGUGGGAACGUGCCCUUUAGUAUGGAAUAGCCCGGGGAAACCUGGAAUAAUACCAUAUGCGCCCUUCGGGGGAAAGAUUUAUCGCUAAGGGAUCGGCCCGCGUCUGAUUAGGUAGUUGGUAAGGUAAAGGCUUACCAAGCCUACGAUCAGUAGCUGGUUUGAGAGGAUGAUCAGCCACACUGGGACUGAGACACGGCCCAGACUCCUACGGGAGGCAGCAGUGGGGAAUCUUGGACAAUGGGGGCAACCCUGAUCCAGCCAUGCCGCGUGAGUGAAGAAGGCCUUCGGGUUGUAAAACUCUUUCAACGGUGAAGAUAAUGACGGUAACCGUAGAAGAAGCCCCGGCUAACUCCGUGCCAGCAGCCGCGGUAAUACGGAGGGGGCUAGCGUUGUUCGGAAUUACUGGGCGUAAAGAGCAUGUAGGCGGACUGGUCAGUCAGUGGUGAAAUCCCGGAGCUCAACUCCGGAACUGCCUUUGAUACUGCCGGUCUAGAGUUUCGGAGAGGUGAGUGGAAUUCCGAGUGUAGAGGUGAAAUUCGUAGAUAUUCGGAGGAACACCAGCGGCGAAGGCGGCUCACUGGCCAAAAACUGACG